GACGUAGGGUCCGAGCGUUGUCCGGAUUUACUGGGCGUAAAGAGCGCGUAGGCGGAUCGGUAAGUGUGAAGUGAAAUCUCCAGGGCUCAACCCGGAAACUGCUUCGCAUACUGUCGAUCUGGAGGAAUGGAGAGGUGAGUGGAAUUCCUGGUGUACCGGUGAAAUGGGUAGAUAUCACGGAGGAACACCCAUGGCGAAGGCAGCUCAACUGGCCAUUGUCU
rnacentral:rRNA from 1 species